AUGAGACAACUUGAUGGGAUGUCCUUCUAUUUGUGGGGGAAAAAAAGCACUCAUCACUCACAAGUAAUGUCUGCCUUGGAUUUGAACAUCAGAAUGGAAAGUCUUAAAUUUUUUUCCACAAUGAAUAGAUUUUUCCUGAAGUCAGGUAAGAACAAACCAAGAAUAAAUGCAAUAGCUUAUAGCUCAAGUUGUGUGUUUGUCACACUAAUUCUUUUUCUUGUUUUUCUAGUUUAGAUAAACAACAGUAAAGAUGAGAGGACAGAGAAGAAAGGAAUUAUGUCUGAUCAGGCCAAGGUCACUUGGCCCAAGUGAUCCCAAGGGCUGAUGUCCUGGCAGCUGGACCGGAGCAGAGACUAAGUGCACCCCAAGCCCAUGGCAAUGUGUGCUCCUGAGCUGUGAUCCUCUCAUCUCCCUCCCACAUCCUAGCUGCUGCCACUUUGCAACUUAAUCCUCACUAAAGAGGUAAAAAAAAAUCUUUCAUUUCAAUUUCUUUUUUUUUUUUUCUUUUUGCAUAUCUGUGGGGCCAUCCUCCAGUUCCAGGCUCUGAAUCUCUUCUUCUUCCGCUUCUUUCAGGGUCAAAUUGAGAGGGAAGGCUGUGGAUGCCAUCUUGCCGGGCCAAGCGCCAGGGCGCAGGCUGGGGCCACGGUGCAGACGCCGAGGGCUGCAUUCCGGCUGUCACAGCGCCAUCCUUCCCGUCCUCAUUUCAAUUUCAUAUAAAAGGUAGAAACGUGUUGAUCUCAGUGUUUUAGCCCUUUGAAGGCUCCUGUCUUUGGUGCUAGUGUUAAAGAAUCCACCUGACUUCAAUGCAGCAGAUGUGUGUUCAAUCCCUGGGUCAGGAGGAUCUGCUGGAGAAGGAAAUGACAGACCACUCCAGUACCCUUGCCUGGGAAAUCCCAUGGACAGAGGAGCCUGAAGGGCUACAGUCCAUGGGUCACAAAUAGUCAGACACGACUGAGCACACAGACACACAGACACACAGACACACACACACACACACACAUCUUUGGUGUGUACGUCCACUCUCCCCGUGGUCCUAACAUUUCUCCCCCCAGCUAUCCCAGCUGAAGGUGGGCUGCUAAGCCCCUGCCAAGGUCUGAGUGGGAGGACAGGCUCUCCAGCAACCUUCGUAUGGUGUGCUGGCCUUUUGUCACCUAAGAAAUCACCAGUUCAUUGGAGGCUCACACAGUCUAUGCUUCACUGGUAUAAUCCUUAACCCCAAAUGAGCCACUUUGGCCCCACUGGUUCCCAUCAUGUGUUUCUGGGAGUGCCCAGGAGUGCCCUGUAUUCACUUGCAAUGAUCCCCUGCUAAUUUACUUUUCUUUUCUGGGUGACUACGGGCCAGCCCUGUGGGGUGGUGAGGAAGAGGAGACCCUCUGCUCCAGGGCCCCAAGUGGGUACAGCUCAGCCCAGGGGGCCUUCAGAGAUUUCAGUGAGAGCUGCUCUCUUUCAGGCAUUAUUCUCAUCUCUGUUUUUUCUCUCUUGCUCUCGUUCUUGCUCUCACUGUCUCUGGGAUUCAGACUGAAGUCAGUGGAGGCCUGGGCUGGGGAAGAACCUGGUGUCAGUAGUACGCAAUGAUUCUGGAAAUUCUCCUCCACUUCUGUUGCUUCCGUUUUCUACUCUGCUUCUGAAAUUCUACUCCACCUCUGUUUGUCACUGGUCUGAUGACUCUCAUUUUCUCUUUCCUUCAGAGAGUUCUCUUCUGGGAAAUGCCUCACUUCCUCAAAUAAACAGACUCCUGGCCUGUCUCCUUCCAGGUUGCCUCCCUGCAGCACAAGCCUGGGCUUGGCCUGACUGCAGUGUGGGUGUCCCCAGCCUGGUCCCCAGACACACCCCAGGAAUUGCCUGUGACUGAGAAGGGCUGUCAGCCCAUCUGUUCACUGAGGCUGUAUCUUCAUCACUCCAGCAAAAUGGAGAGCCGAAAAGUUUACUGAAGGAUGAAAUUAGAUGGAGAAGACUUAGUAACGCCAGCUUCAUUCUUCCAGCUGCUCUGACUGAAGCUUUGGCAUUGUCUCUGCCUCCUCUCCCAUCCCUUAGUCUACCAGCCUGCAAAUCCUGAAGGUUCUACCUUUAAAACACAGGCAGGGCCUGACCAUUUCUUGCCACCUUUACUGCUUCCACUCUACUCCAACACCAUGUCUCUUUCAAAGCUCCUGACACCUCCCUUCUUCCACCUUUGCUGCUCUGUGGUCUAAUCUGUGCAGCAAAGUGACGCUGCCAAAGUCAGAUCGGAUGUGUUGUUCCUCUGCUUAGAACUUUCUCUCCAGUGGUUUUCCACUGUUACCAAGCGAAGGGCCCCACGUGAUGUGCAUAGAAGCCAAUGCAACGCACCGGCUUUUGAGAAAAGAGAAUGCUUUAUUGCAAUGCAAGGCCAGCGAGCUAGGAGACAGGAGGCAGGACUCAAAUCGGUCUCCCUGAUCUGGGGUUCGCUCACCGCUCUGUGAGUUAGGGGACGAGGGCGGAUGUUGAAGCACUGGCAGAGCAGGUGUGGUCGGAGGGUUUUGGCACCUGGCUAUUCACAGUGAGGAUGGUAAAGGGGUCUUCCUGGACAACAGAGCCUUUGCUUCUGAAAGGGCUCCCAUGUUCAGGUACCAGCUCUGCAGAGGGGAAGAAACUUUGGUUCUGGCUGUGGAGACUGCUAUUAUCUCCUCUGUGCAUGCCUCACCUGCAUGACUUGUGCUUUUGAUCAGUUGUCUCUGAAAAGAAACUCAGUAUCUUGUUAGAAACAGGAGAAGGCCAGUUUGGGUCUGGUUGGCUUCCCAGGUGGUGCCAGUGGUAAAGAACCCACCUGACAAUGCAGGAGACGUAAGAGACUCUGUUCGAUCCCGGGGUCAAGAAGAUCCCCUGGAGGAGGAAAUGGCAACCCACUCCAGUAGCCUUGCCUGGAUAAUCCCAAGGACAAAGGAGCCUGGAGGGCUACGGUUCAUAGGGUUGCAAAGAGUUGGACAUGACUGAAGUGAUUUAGCAUGCGAGCACUGUGGUUAUGCAACUUUACUGAGAGUAAAAACAGUCUUUACAAUGGCUUCAAGGCCCUGUGAGAUAGGUGACCUGGGAUUUCUCUGAACGACUGUCUGCGCCUUUCCUGUGACCCAUUCCACUCCAGCCACAGGGCCUUUUGCCUGUUACUUCCUUUGAUUGGAACACUCUCCUCCCAAAUACACACAGAGCUCACAGCCUUUGGGUUUUGCUCAAACAGUUAAUUGUUCAGUUGCUGUGCAUUGCAUUGAAUUCUAAAUCCAGGUAUUUGACUUUAAAACUUUGUUUCUCAUUCAUGAGUUAAACCUAUAUGUAAAAGGGGGAAAUUGGCCCAAAUCCACGCAGACAGUUCCCUCCGCAUUUUUUAAAAUAUAUAUUCAUGUAAUUUAUUUAUUUCAAUUGGAGGCUAAUUACUUUACAAUACUGUAGUGUUUUUUUGGCCAUAUGUUGACAUGAAUCAGCCAUGGAUGUACCUGUGUCCCCCAUCCUGAACCCCCCUCCCACCUCCCUCCCCAUCCCAUCCCUCAGGGUUGUCCCAGGUGCUUCGAGUGCCCUGUUUCAUGCAUCAAUCUUGGACUAGUGAUCUAUUUUGCAUAUGGUAAUAUACAUGUGUCAGUGCUAUUCUCUCAAGUCAUUGCACCCUCGCCUUCUCCCACAAAGUCCAAAAUCUGCUCUUUAUAUUCAUGUCUCUUUUGCUGUCUCACAUAUAGGGUCAUUGUUACCAUCUUUCUAAAUUCCAUAUAUAUGCAUUAGUAUACUGUAUUGGUGUGUUUCUUCCUGGCUUACUUCACUUUCUGACUUACUUCACUCUGUGUAAUAGGUUCUAGGUUCAUCCACUUCAUUAGAACUGACUCAAAUGCAUUCCUUUUUAUGGCUGAGUCAUACUCCAUUGUGAAUAUGUAUCACGAUGGACAUAGAUUGUUUCCAUGUUCUAGCUAUUGUAAACAGUGCUGCAGUGAAUAACGGGAUACAUGUGUCCUUUGCAAUUCUGGUUUCCUCAGGGUAUAUGCCUAGGAGUGGGAUUGCUGGGUCAUAGGGUGGUUUUAUUCCUAGAUUUUUAAAGGAAUCUCCAUACUGUCUUCCAUAGUGGCUGUAUCAAUUUACAUUCCACCAACAGUGUAAGAGCAUUCCCUUUUCUUCACACCGUCUCCAGAAUUUUUGUUCGUAGACUUUUGGAUAACAGCCAUUCUGACUGGCAUGACUAGGUACCUCACUGUGGUUUUGAUUUGCAUUUCUCUAAUAAUGAGUGAUGUUGAGCAUCUUUGCAUGUGUUUGUUAGCCAUCUGUAUGUCUUCUUUGGAGAAUUUUUCAUUAAGAUAUGACACAAUAAUACACACACACACACACACACACACAUGCUAUUUUGUAUUUGGCCACAUGUGGGCUAUAUCUUAUGGCAUAUGAAAGAAAUCUAUCCACUCACUAAUAAGUCUAUCUCUAAGGAAUAUCUAGUUGAACCCAAGGCAAGUUCUGACAACCAUUUAUGACUACUGAGAACCAAGUGAAGUAUGAAUUUACUUUGAAAAAUAGCUGUUAGUAAUGAAAAUGUUAAGCAAGCUCUGACUUUCUGUAACCAGAAGAGAUGGAUUCACCUUUUCACAAAGCUUCAGCAUGUAAAACAGGUUCUGAUCUUUCACCAGGAUAAAAACCUAUUCAAGUCUCUC
rnacentral:lncRNA from 1 species